AUGGCCCCAGGUCACCCAAGAAGAUGGAGAGACGCGGAAAGGGUCUUUCCGCCUUCAGAGAAUAACAGCGAAGACAACUUGACAGAACCAAAGAGAGGGAGUGAGUCGAAACACCAAAGGCCAGGUCUUGGGAAAGAAGUCUGUGUCCAAGUGUCAGAACCUGGGCAUUUUUGUCCGGUCCUUUAUAAACUUUAAACUCAUCAUUUCACCGGGACGUUGGUGUUGUAGACAUACAGCUUGACGCCUGCAGACUAGCUUGACUUCUAGGUGCAAAAUGUCUUCCCUCCUCCUGAAACGUGAUGAAGAGGUGGCGAGAGGAAAACCACGUGCGUUAUUGCUCUUUGCAUAUCCUCGGCUGGGGUAAUUUCCUAUAGGAAGAUGUUAACUAGGAACCAUUUUAUCAGGGAGGAGUUGAGGGGGAUAAAUGAAUUUCCUGGUGCCAUGUUGGUUCUUGUUCAGUGGCAGCAAAAAAAAUGGCACCCAAAGCAACAGGAAAAAUACUUUAUAAAGGAGAGUUUGUGGGUCAAUAAUUUUGGAAAAUGUAAUCUGUGAUACUGAUCCUAUUAAAAUUGCCAUAAAUAUUCAAAUUAAAACUUUCAUUACAGUCAUGCAUCACUUACCUACGGGGAGAGGUUCUGAGAAAUGCAUCACGAGUUCCCUUUUGUGCAAACGUCACAGAGCGUACUUACAUAAACCUAGAUGGCACAGCCUGCUACACACCUAGGGUCUAAGGACUAGUGUUAUCCAUCAUCCCAUAUUCAGGGCAUCGUGGACGGAAACAUCGUUACGUGGUGCAUGGCUGUAUUUAUAAUGGAAUUAUAACACAGGUGCUGGAGACUGCAUGUCUGUGUUGCCACUAAAUUCGUAUGUUGAAAUCCUAAUCCCAAUGUGAUGGUUUGAGGAGGUGGGACCUUUGGGAGGUGAUUAGGUCAUGAGGGUGGAGCCCUCAUAAAUAAUAUUAGUACCCUUAUAAAAGAGACGCCAGAGAGCUCCCUCCUCCAUGUGAGGAUACAGCAGG
rnacentral:lncRNA from 1 species